CGCCUGAGUGCUCCGCGUCGCGGCGCCCGUGAGAAAUCGUCCUGCCGGCGCGGACAGAGAGCUGGUUUCACAGCGAGGCCGUUUUUCCUAAGCACCAGCUUCGCAAGAGGCCGCACAAGGAUGGUGGUGGAUCAAGACAAGUAGAAGAAGACUCUACAAUCAUGUUUGCAUGAACUAAAAUAAAAUCUUAAGCCCGCAAGCUGUGAUGGAAUGGACGCCUUUUUGGCAAAGGGGACUGCUGAAAGACCUUAAGGCUCGGAUACUGGCUAUGAAAAGAUGGUGCUCACACCUGGGGUUCAAAGACGACUCAGGAUUCCUGGAAGGAGUAGCCCAACGUGAGUGCCAGGUAGCAGCAAGGCCCCCUUGAGCCACCCCACUCCGAGCUUUCCCUUGGGCUGCACUGGGAGAAUAUUAACAUGGACCUGAAUGCACAGAGAUACUGCAAAUGUCCUUAAAUAUUCUCUCAAAUUUUCACAGCUGAUUUGUACUUUAAUGUUUACUCGGGGAUCCACUUUUUUUCAGUACUUGUUCAGUAUAUAGACGAUGUUUUACUCUGUAAACCGGGUGUCCUCUUAGACCUCCUUAUUCUUUGGAAGACUAACUGAGUGAGGCCAUAAAGCCUCUAGGUGCAAACUCCAGAGGGUACAGACAACUGUUACUUACUCAGAACAUAACAUAUUUCAGGGCACUCAAAAGCUCACCCCAAAAUUCCUUGAGUCAGUUUUGGUAUAGCCCUCAUUAGAGAUUACACACUGGUAAAAGGAAAUGUUGCCACUAUUUACACAGACUCCAAAGAUGCCUCUGGAGGCAGGUGAUCUUCUAUUGCCAGGGUGUCUGGAGACUGCUGGGAUUUAAGUGAACACGCUAGAUACACACACUAACUAAUAUGCUUGAAGCAUGUCAUCAACAGGUGAAAGGUGCAUGGCUUCCACCAACUCACAGGCUUUGCCAUCCUUUUUGACCAAGAGAUGGUGUAUAUAUGAAAAUUUUUAGAGAAAGACAUGUGCUGUCAUCUCUCUGGGAAGGCCCCUAUGAAGUACUGUUAACCACCUACACUGCCAUCAAAAUAAAAGAAAAAAUUUCCUGGGUUCAUGCAAGCUACACCAAAUUACUCUGAGAGAGUUGGAAGCCCACCCCUACAGGUGCCCUGAAAGUAAGGAUUUCCAAGGCUGGUUCCCGGGCCCCUGAAGCAGACAUCUUCACAAAGUAGACAGAUUUGUCCCAAGAUCUUGGAUCAAGAAACCACAGUUUUUAUCUAAAAACUCUUCUGUUUUAUUUCUUUUUAUCCCCUCCCCACAAAAGGGUCCUUUAUAAACACUUUUUCUUUUAAUCCUCCCCGUUGGAGGAUUGCACGUUGGAAGCUGAGUGGAGAUUGCCUCAACCUUUCCCAAUUUCCCUUUUAAUCUUCCACUAUGACUUUUCUUUCAAACUAUGACUCACUCUUACUAAACUCUUACUGUUUUUCCAGAAGGUCAGACACAGACCCAGCAUCCCUUUGCACCAGUCUUUCAAACCCUGGCCACACUAACUGAUCAAUCUAAUUGCUAGUUAUGCCAACAUGUAGAUCAUACAAAGGAACCCGAACUCGUUUUCGUUUCUGCCAACGUGAGUGCCAGGUGGGACUGGUCUGAAGAUGGACAUGUGACAAGCAGUGGCAUCCACAACCAAAGAAAACAUAUUAUGGUACUUCUCCUGUUGGUGAGUUAAAUGAACACAGAAAAAGUGUCUUGUACUCAGGUAAAGUCACUAGAAAGAAUAUUUUUCUCUCUUCUGGGUGACAUUCUAGGGCAAUAUUGCAAUCAAACCCCACAGAUGGCAUUCUUGCACCUCUUAGAUGAGGCUGACACUAACCCUCAAGAUGUCAACGCUUGUUAAAUAAUCAGAUGUUAUGGACGGCUCACAAGCCAGGCCUCUGCAACCUGGGGUAGCUCGCUUGCUCCCCUUGUUAAGUUGCCAGACACUAAUGAUUACAUAUGGACA